rnacentral:tRNA from 1 species
UCAAGGAAGAAGUAAUAACCCCACCUUCAGCACCCAAAGCUGAUAUUCUUUUAAACUAUUCCUUG